CUGAGACACGGUCCAGACUCCUACGGGAGGCAGCAGUGGGGAAUAUUGCACAAUGGGGGAAACCCUGAUGCAGCCAUGCCGCGUGUGUGAAGAAGGCCUUCGGGUUGUAAAGCACUUUCAGCGAGGAGGAAAAGUCAGUAGCUAAUAUCUGCUGGCUGUGACGUUACUCGCAGAAGAAGCACCGGCUAACUCCGUGCCAGCAGCCGCGGUAAUACGGAGGGUGCAAGCGUUAAUCGGAAUUACUGGGCGUAAAGCGCACGCAGGC
rnacentral:rRNA from 1 species